UACGUAGGGUCCGAGCGUUGUCCGGAAUUACUGGGCGUAAAGAGCGCGCAGGCGGUCGUUCAAGUCGCGUGUGAAAGCCCCCGGCUCAACUGGGGAGGGUCACGCGAUACUGAUCGACUCGAAGGCAGGAGAGGGUAGUGGAAUUCCCGGUGUAGUGGUGAAAUGCGUAGAUAUCGGGAGGAACACCAGUGGCGAAGGCGACUACCUGGCCUGUUCUUGACGCUGAGGCGCGAAAGCUAGGGGAGCAAACGGG
rnacentral:rRNA from 1 species